rnacentral:rRNA from 1 species
AUGGCUUCCAGCAGCAAGGGAGCGGCGGCGUCCUCGCUCUGCAUCAAGCUCGUGGCCUGCCUCUGCUUCCUCGGAUUAUCCCAAGGCAGGGGCACGGCCAAGCCGCCAUUCACGCUGAGGAACCUCCCUCCCCUCGAGAAGGCGAGCAGCUUCCCCGCGAUGCGCCACGACAGCUACGACUACAUUGUCGUCGGCGGGGGCACCGCCGGCUGCCCCCUGGCGGCGACAUUGUCGCUCAAGUACAAGGUGCUCGUGCUGGAGAGGGGCGGGUCCCCUUACGGCAACCGCAACGUCUCCUACAUGGAGAACUUCCACAUUGGCCUGAGCAACACGGCGCCGGACUCUUCGUCGCAGGCCUUCGUCUCCACCGACGGCGUCAUCAAUGCCCGGGCAAGGGUGCUCGGCGGCGGCACCUGCAUCAAUGCUGGCUUCUACAGCCGAGCCAGCUCAAGCUUCGUGCAGGAUGUUGGCUGGGAAGAAGACCUGGUGAAUGAGUCCUACCCUUGGGUAGAGGAUAAGGUUGUCCAGUGGCCUAAGAUCGCGCCUUGGCAGGCUGCACUGCGGGAUGGGCUUGUUGAAGCAGGUGUAUCCCCUUUCAAUGGGUACACCUAUGACCAUGUUUCUGGGACCAAGGUUGGCGGCACCAUCUUCGACGCAAAUGGCCACCGCCACACAGCAGCCGACUUGCUCGCAGCUGGAGACCGUAACAACCUGAGGGUCCUGCUUCAUGCUAGUGUGCACAAGAUAGUGUUCGACUCGCAACAAGGACGACUGAGACCAAGGGCUAUCGGGGUACAAUUUGCUGAUGAGGACGGGAGACUCCACCAGGCACUCCUCAACAACAACAGAGAUAGCGAAAUUAUCAUCUCUUCUGGUGCAAUUGGCAGCCCCCAGCUGCUACUCCUCAGUGGGAUUGGGCCAAAGAAUGAUCUUAAGAAUCAUAACAUUCCUGUUGUUCUCCACAACAAGUAUGUGGGGAAAGGGAUGGCCGACAACCCCAUGAACUCCAUCUUCAUACCUACGAAAAGCCCCCCGCGGCAGUCACUGAUUGAGACUGUCGGGAUAACUGAAGCCGGUGUGUUCAUCGAGGCCAGCAGUGGUUUUGGCCAGUCAGAAGAUAGCAUCCACUGCCACCACGGAAUCAUGUCUGCUGAGAUUGGACAGCUGUCCACAGUUCCUCCGAAGCAAAGAAGCCUGGAACUAGCCAGGGAGUAUGCACAUAACAAACUUAGUCUACCCAAAGAGGUGUUCCAGGGUGGCUUUAUCCUUGAGAAGAUCGAUGGUCCACUGUCUACAGGCCAUCUUGUCCUUGCAGACACUGAUGUCAAGAACAACCCGGCAGUUACUUUCAACUAUUUCAGCCAUCCACAAGAUCUCAGCCGUUGUGUCUAUGGCAUCAAGACCAUUGAGAAAAUAUUGAAGACAAACAGUUUCGCUCAUCUGACUCCUGAUGAUGAUGCUGGAUAUGAAAUAGAAAGGGUGCUCAACAUGAGCGUGCGGGCUAACGUGAAUCUGAUACCCAAGCAUACCAAUACCACAGAAUCCCUGGAGCAAUUUUGCAAGGACACGGUAAUCACCAUCUGGCACUACCAUGGUGGGUGCCAUGUAGGGAAGGUGGUCGACCAGCAGCACCGAGUGCUUGGAGUCUCAGGGCUCCGGGUUGUUGAUGGCUCAACGUUCUCUAGGUCACCAGGGACCAACCCUCAAGCCACGGUCAUGAUGAUGGGCAGGUACUUUGGAGUGAAGAUCUUAAGGCAGCGGCUAGGACGAGCAGCUGGGGUGUAG